GAUGAAGAACGUAGCGAAAUGCGAUAAGUAAUGUGAAUUGCAGAAUUCAGUGAAUCAUCGAAUCUUUGAACGCACAGUGCGCCCGCUAGUAUUCUGGCGGGCAUGCCUGUCCGAGCGUCAUUUCAACCCUCAAGCCCCCGGGCUUGGUGUUGGGGAUCGGCGAGCCUCCGCGCCCGCCGUCCCCUAAAUCUAGUGGCGGUCUCGCUGUAGCUUCCUCUGCGUAGUAGCACACCUCGCACUGGGAAACAGCGCGGCCACGCCGUUAAACCCCCAACUUCUGAACGUUUGACCUCGGAUCAGGUAGGAAUACCCGCUGAACUUAAGCAUAUCAAUAAGCGGAGGA
rnacentral:misc_RNA from 1 species